GAUGAACGCUGGCGGCGUGCCUAAUACAUGCAAGUCGAGCGAACAGACGAGGAGCUUGCUCCUUCGACGUUAGCGGCGGACGGGUGAGUAACACGUAGGUAACCUACCUAUAAGACUGGGAUAACUUCGGGAAACCGGAGCUAAUACCGGAUAAUAUUUCGAACCGCAUGGUUCGAUAGUGAAAGAUGGCUUUGCUAUCACUUAUAGAUGGACCUGCGCCGUAUUAGCUAGUUGGUAAGGUAACGGCUUACCAAGGCAACGAUACGUAGCCGACCUGAGAGGGUGAUCGGCCACAAGGGAACUGAGACACGGACCAGACUCCUACGGGAGGCAGCAGUAGGGAAUCUUCCGCAAUGGGCGAAAGCCUGACGGAGCAACGCCGCGUGAGUGAUGAAGGUCUUCGGAUCGUAAAACUCUGUUAUUAGGGAAGAACAAACGUGUAAGUAACUGUGCACGUCUUGACGGUACCUAAUCAGAAAGCCACGGCUAACUACGUG
rnacentral:rRNA from 1 species